UACGUAGGGGGCGAGCGUUGUCCGGAUUUAUUGGGCGUAAAGAGCUCGUAGGCGGCUUGGCAAGUCGGGUGUGAAACCUCCAGGCUCAACCUUUGAACGCCGAUGGAUACUGCCGGGCUAGAGUCCGGAAGAGGCGAGUGGAAUUCCUGGCGUAGCGGUGGAAUGCGCAGAUAUCAGGAGGAACACCAAUAGCGAAGGCAGCUCGCUGGGACGGUACUGACGCUGAGGCGCGAAAGCGUGGGGAGCGAACAGG
rnacentral:rRNA from 1 species